UACAGAGGUCUCAAGCGUUGUUCGGAUUCAUUGGGCGUAAAGGGUGCGUAGGUGGUGACGUAAGUCUAAUGUGAAAUCUCGGGGCUUAACCCCGAAAUUGCAUCGGAUACUGCGUGACUAGAGGAUUGUAGAGGAGAUUGGAAUUCACGGUGUAGCAGUGAAAUGCGUAGAGAUGUGGAGGAACACCGAUGGCGAAGGCAGCCUCCUGGGCCAGCACUGACGCUCAUGCACGAAAGCGUGGGGAGCAAACAGG
rnacentral:rRNA from 1 species